GAACGCUGGCGGAGUGCUUAAGACAUGCAAGUCGUACGAGAAAGCCGACUUCGGUUGGUGAGUAAAGUGGCGCACGGGUGAGUAACACGUGGAUAAUCUGCCUUUUGGUCUGGGAUAACCCCGGGAAACUGGAGCUAAUACCGGAUGAGACCACGACGCCUCCGGGCGAUGUGGGAAAAGAUGGCCUCUCCUUGGAAGCUAUCGCCAGAAGAUGAGUCCGCGCACCAUUAGCUUGUUGGUGAGGUAACGGCUCACCAAGGCUACGAUGGUUAGCUGGUCUGAGAGGAUGAUCAGCCACACUGGAACUGAGACACGGUCCAGACUCCUACGGGAGGCAGCAGUCGGGAAUAUUGGACAAUGGGCGCAAGCCUGAUCCAGCAACUCCGCGUGAGGGAUGAAGGCCCUCGGGUCGUAAACCUCUGUCGGGAGGGAAGAAAGCCGCGUUGAAAAUAUCUUCGCGGUCUGACGGUACCUCUAAAGGAAGCGCCGGCUAACUCCGUG
rnacentral:rRNA from 1 species